GAUGAUGACAUCUCAUUGUAUAAUCUAAGCAAGGUAGCCAAGCAACGGGAAACUAUUGAAUCAAGGAAGGAGAGGCAAUCUCAAACUCAAAAAUACACAAACAACACGUCAUUUGUGGCAAUCCUACUUGCGACAAUAACCUUCACCGCUGCUUUCACUCUACCUGGAGGAUAUAGCAGUGAUGCUGGAAGUGCGGGACUUCCCAUCAUGUCUAAAGAGAUUGCAUUUCAAGCAUUCUUGGUCUCUGACACCUUAGCAAUGUGCUCUUCAUUUGUUGCGGCCUUCAUAUGCCUCAUGGGAAGGUGGGAGGAUGCUAACAUCACAAAUUAUUAUAUCUCCGUUACUAAGAAGCUUACUUGGUUUGCAUACAUGGCAACAAUUACAGCUUUUGCGACUGGUUUGUACACAGUGCUGUCCGCACGUGUCCACUGGUUGGCCAUUGGGAUUUGCUCUGUGGUAGGUUUAGUGCCCUUUCUUACUAUGUUCAUAGCGAAAUGGCCUAUCUUGAAGCUCAAGUUUCGCCAAACUUGUCGUGGCUUGAGGCUCAAAUUUCGGCAACGCCAAACUGGCAAAUCCAAAUCCAAUGACACGGUCUGA
rnacentral:rRNA from 1 species